UACAUGGGGUGCAAACGUUGCUCGGAAUUAUUGGGCGUAAAGCGCGUGUAGGCGGCUUUGCAAGUCGGAUGUGAAAUCCCUCAGCUCCAACUGAGGAAGUGCGCCCGAAACUGCAGAGCUUGAGUACCGGAGAGGAUGGUGGAAUUCCCCAAGUAGAGGUGAAAUUUGUAGAUAUGGGGAGGAACACCGGGUGGCGAAGGCGACCAUCUGGACGGAUACUGACGCUCAUGCACGAAAGCGUGGGGAGCAAACAGG
rnacentral:rRNA from 1 species